rnacentral:rRNA from 2 species
GAAACCGAGUCUUAACCGGGCGUUAAGUUGCAGGGUAUAGACCCGAAACCCGGUGAUCUAGCCAUGGGCAGGUUGAAGGUUGGGUAACACUAACUGGAGGACCGAACCGACUAAUGUUGAAAAAUUAGCGGAUGACCUGUGGCUGGGGGUGAAAGGCCAAUCAAACCGGGAGAUAGCUGGUUCUCCCCGAAAGCUAUUUAGGUAGCGCCUCGUGAAUUCAUCUCCGGGGGUAGAGCACUGUUUCGGCUAGGGGGCCAUCCCGGCUUACCAACCCGAUGCAAACUGCGAAUACCGGAGAAUGUUAUCACGGGAGACACACGGCGGGUGCUAACGUCCGUCGUGAAGAGGGAAACAACCCAGACCGCCAGCUAAGGUCCCAAAGUCAUGGUUAAGUGGGAAACGAUGUGGGAAGGCCCAGACAGCCAGGAUGUUGGCUUAGAAGCAGCCAUCAUUUAAAGAAAGCGUAAUAGCUCACUGGUCGAGUCGGCCUGCGCGGAAGAUGUAACGGGGCUAAACCAUGCACCGAAGCUGCGGCAGCGACGCUGAUGCGUUGUUGGGUAGGGGAGCGUUCUGUAAGCCUGCGAAGGUGGCCUGUGAGGGUUGCUGGAGGUAUCAGAAGUGCGAAUGCUGACAUAAGUAACGAUAAAGCGGGUGAAAAGCCCGCUCGCCGGAAGACCAAGGGUUCCUGUCCAACGUUAAUCGGGGCAGGGUGAGUCGACCCCUAAGGCGAGGCCGAAAGGCGUAGUCGAUGGGAAACGGGUUAAUAUUCCCGUACUUGGUGUUACUGCGAAGGGGGGACGGAGAAGGCUAUGUUGGCCGGGCGACGGUU